ACCGCAUGGCCAGCCGGGGUCCCUGAGGACCAGCGCCCAGGGCCUGUCCUUCUCAUCCUGGGAGGACUGAACUAGAGAUGGACACGGCCCAGGCAGGGAGACAGACCAGACACCCGGGGAUCUUUCCAGCCAUAGGGCUGUGAGUCACGGUCUGUUUCCAGAAGAUUCUCAGAUCCUGCAUAAGGCAUUCAAAAAGCAACACUUGGAUGAAGAAGGAACCACACUUUGAAGAUGCCUACUGACUUGACAAGGUCACCUGGCUGCUAGGAGGCUGAGCCCAACUGAAACCCUACAGCUCUUCUGACUCCCAAAUCAGUGCUCUUCUCCUGAACCCCACCUCAGAGGUGGCAAGGCCUGGAGGGCGGUCACUUUGGAAUCUCCCUGGAAUCUGAACCUUUCCUCACCACUACCCACCCCCCCUCACCCAGUGUACUUUCUACCGGCCCUGGCCCUGAAAUGCUCCCACCAGGCUCUAGCAAGGUGGCCUCCCUCAAC